GCCGUGUCUGGUGCAAGAACGGAUUCUGGAAGCCGCCUCCUCGCAGGGCGAGCGGGUCGCUGAGGAGGGACUCGCGCGCGGGUGUCGCGCCCGCACGGGCAUCCUCGGGCUCCCCCGCCCUGCCUGUCCUCCCCGCACGGCCGCCCGGGCUUCGGGCGGGGAGCGCGGUCCGAAGACCUCGUCCUCUGGCCCCUUGUUGGUCGCUGCUUGCAGCUGCCGCGGAAAUUCGCUGUGGCCGCUGCCUCUUCCCGCUUUAAUCCCAGACCUCCAGUCAUUGGGCAGCUCCUCGGAGGCAAGAAGUCAACACCAUGGCAACCCGACAAGCCUAUCAAAUCACCGGCUGGCGUGACAGCAGCAACACUGCAGGCAGGAGUGGGCUGGGCGGACAAGCAGAGCGGCCACCACGCUCAGAUGGGUAGGUGGGUCAGAGGAGGAUCUACAUACAGCCCAGGUACAGAAGUCACAACGCUGGACGUGGCAGGUGUAACCUUUGAGGUUUUCUGUUGGACAUAGGGCCGCUCUGAAGACCGGGACAUAGAUAAACACACUUUGCUGGAACCUCCAUGGCGGAACCAGGGAAUGUCCCGAGAGGUGUCGUCUGAUGGAAAUGCUGGCUCUUGAGAUGAACUCUGAUAGUCUGUACGUCCAGGUGAACGGGAACCGGAAACAUUUAUAGCGCUCACUUCGUUGCACUGAACUUUUGCUCUCUAACUGUAUCCUCCUGCUAGAAUUAAGGUGGUACCUUUCCCAAAUCAUUUGAAAAUCGUGUGUUUCUAACCCAAAAGCCCAGGAUAAACGUAUGCCUGAGGAAGGAAAACCACUACCUAGAAGCAAAAGAGAUGAGCAAAGCUGUGUUCAUUUUAUUUCAUUUUCCCAUUGGCAGACUGACUUACAGUCAGUCAUAUAAUUGACAUUUUCUGGGUGCCCACAGGGUGCCUGAAAAAGAGGCAUUGUGGAACUGAGGUCAGAGCAGAGGUGAACCUGGAAUUCCUACCCCUGAAAUGGGAGUGAGGUGAACAUUUAAUGCCCGUACGAUGUCAUGUACCGCGUGAAGUUUCUUAGAACAGCUCAACUCUGAAUUGCAAUUUGAUGGAUAGAUGUUGUAUCAUAAGCAUAUUUCCAUUGUACUGCAGGGUUGUUAUUAAAUUUUAUAGCUAGAUGUAUUCUAUUUUAACCAUUCAUACUAUCAAACUUUUAGAUUGUUUUUGAACUUUUGCUAUUAUAGAGAGCAUUAUUAUUUAAACAGUAGAAAUUUGAAGAUCGCCUCAAUGUCCAAAAAUAAAUAAAAUGGUGAAAUAAAUCAUGGCAUGGAGGCACCAUAGAGGAUUAUAUAUCAUUAAAAUGAUUCUUGCCCAAAGUAAAGCAAAAACUGCAUUAGACACACACAUUUAUACAUUACAAGCUCAGCAACACAACAUUUUGUAUACAUAUAAAAAUAUCAAGGAAAUUUUAUUUGUGGCUAAUUCCAUAUGUGGGGGUAUAGAAGAUUACUAAUGUUUUUUCUUCUUAUUCUUUACUUUUUAAUGUUUUUCUCUAAAGAUCGUGUCUCAUUUUAGAAUCAGAGAAUAUCUAUAUGCCUAAAGUUUCAAGAAAUUUGAUUUUUGGAUCAAAAAAUAAAUUUGUUUUUAUAGUUUUAAAAGAUAUUUCUAGUUUUCUUCCUCUGGAUGAUUUCUAUCAACUUAAACAGGCACCAAGAAUAUCAAUAAUAAUAGCACUGUGUCAAAACAAGAGAAAAUAAUAUCUGCCUUAUUUAAUAAGACUACUUUCGUGCUAUUUUAAUCUGCAUUUCUUUGACUAGAAGAUAACAGGAUGGUUUUUCCUUGCCUGGUUUAUAAUAUCUAAAAGGUAUUUCCUUUUGUCUUAGUUGCACACACACACACACACACACACACACACACAUCCUUUUGUCUCUAUUGUCUUCCCUUUAUAAGAAUUCUUUAUAUAACAUUAACAUUUGUGGCAAACAUUGUCCUUUGGCCGCAUUCUUUUUAUUUUAUGUUAUUUACUCUUCAGCAAUUUUAAAAGGCCAAAUUUGUUCAUAUUUUCCUUUGUGAUUUUAUCAUUUCAGAAAAGUUUUUAGCCCUCCAAAGUUCUACACAUAUUAAAUUUUUUUUCAUAGUUUUGUAACUUGUUGGCUUGUUUCCUGUGGUUUUCAGUUAAACAUUUUAAGUGAACAUUUGUACAGUAACGUUUGUUGUAUUGGCCUAUGUUUUUUCCAAUGCUAAUAAAUGGU